CAAAUUUUGAGUACUUGCCGUGCUGUGGAAAACAGGAGGAGGAGCUGACCAGAGACUUAUAGGAGGAUGACCAAGUGCCACUGAAGGCUUGCUGAAGACCCCAAGCAAUCAGUUUCCCUUCCUUAAGCAGACCUCAAGUCCAGUGCCUCAAGGGAUAAAGCUAGUUGUGGGAAGGAAAGGCAAAGGGGCAGACUGUCUUGUGGCUGCUAAUGGCUGAGGGAGCUGCCACCCCAGUUGGAGGUCUGCUUAGGGUCAUCCUCUGUCCAGGCUCCACACACCCUGGGACAGUUUCUGGAGCUGUCCCUCCUUGCCUAGACCCUGGCUGGCUCCUAUUCAUCACUAACUCUAGUGAUGCUCCUUCCAAGAAGUCUUCCAUAGUCCCCAGUCCUCCUUUCCAGUCCUGGUAGGUGGCCCUUGUCCUGUGCUACCAUUUCCCUGUCAGCAUCUGCAUCACAUUACUGUCAUGAACCUCCCGUGUCCCUCUCCCCUCCCCCUCUCCCCUCCCCCUCACCGCCCCACCCCCCCGCAACCCCUUAAGAGCAGGGACUGUUGUUUAAUCUCUGCAUCUCCAGGAUGCAGCAAGGGCCUGACAUGUGGAGCUUCUCGGGGUAUGUUUGGUGAAUAAAUGGCACAGGGAGGGGGCUGCUGCCACCACUGCCACUCUAUGCUCUCUCAGAUGUAAACAGGUUACCCAGCUGGGAGAGAGGACAUCUGCUGGCUGGUGUGGCGUCCAGCACUGAUGUGUCUACCUUCUCUGAAGGUGGGUCCAGGAGACCUUUGACCCAGGGGAUCCUCAUCACCCCUCACCUGGGAAAGCUGACACCUGGUGGAAGCUUGGUCCUAAGGCAGGGAGGGAGGGAAGUGUGGUCCUGAAGCUGCCCCAUCCUCAACCCAUCCCCUACAGAUGCCAGAGGGGACCCCUUUCUCAAGGCCGCAAUCACCCCAUUCGUUUAUAUAGAACUUUAUGGCACAUAAGUAUCUUUGACAUAUGUGAAUUGAGUCCGCCCAACAACCCUGCAAAAUUGGUAUGACCACCAUCCCAUUUUGUGGAUGAGGAAAUUAAAGGCUCAGAGAAGUAAAGAAAUUUGCCCUAAGCCACCCGGCUAGUAAGUGACAGACCCACGACUUGGGCUUAGGCCUGACUACAAGUUCAGGGCACUUUGCCACUAUGCUGCCCUUUGGCCCAGCUCAGCCAUGCUGAGGAAGGCCAAGGUGGUGGUGAAGUUUCAGGGUCCUGCCACAUACCCAUGCCUUCCUCAUCUUCCCGGGGGAUAAAGGGUACAAGAGGGGAGGAGAGAGACACAGAUCACCCAUGGGUCAGCGGUGUAGUGAGGACCCAGGACUUCACAGCCUUGUGUGGGGAAGGGAAGGAGGAAGAAAUGUGGGUAAGCCUCAGGCCAAGCUGCUGCACUGUGAGGCCACUUGGACUCACACCCACAGCCUGGGCUCAUUCCUGGCUGGUGGCCGGUAUGAGGUCUCACCCUAGUUCCACUCCUCGUGGGGGCUGGCAAAGGCACAAUUCUCGGCCUGUUUGAGGGUAAUCCAGCCACAGCACCCCAAGCCAGUGCCUGCUCCCUCCCUCCCCUAGGAGUGCUGGGGAAUCCGAGGUAAGGUCCCUUGUCCUUUGUCGGGUGAGUGAGAUUCUGGGCUGUGAGAGGCGCAGAGUCGCCUCAUGGGCUUACCUUUGAGAUAGAGGCCUGAGGGGACAGCCGGGCCUUAGGCAGUGUCAGAGGUGAGGCAGUGGUGGUAGACCGGGGAAACUCCUGUCUUCAGGACUGGCAUUGAGCUGAGCAACAGAGGUGGGGGCCUUUCUCCAGGGCUUUUCCCUAACCCCAAAUUCUCACCCCAGCAGCUUCUUCCUGUGCCCUGGGAAAGGGGAUGUGGUCUCUGUGCUGCCUAAAAGAGUGCUUAGGCUGGGGGUGGGUCAUUCGAAAGCCUGGGGCUCUAGGGACUGGGGAGAGUGUGGGAAGGUGCUGAGUGAAGAGCAGGGAAAGGAUCAAGAAGGGGGCAUGGGAAGGGAGGGGAGUGAGAAAGGUGUCAGGCAGGAGAAAAAAAGGGGCUUGAAGGAGAAGGGAGGAGGGGGAAGUGGGGAGGGAAGGACGAGUCAGAAGCUAAGGAGCAUGAUGCAGGCCUUAGCUCCUGGCCAGGCUGUGAGAGAUCAGCGUGGGCCAGGGCAGGUGUAGGAACUGAGGAUGCUGCGGCUCUGCUGCUCCUGGGGCUCUGGGGUGCCAUAGCAGGAGGGCCUUCUCCUACCAGGCGCCUUGUGGAGCAGGGCUGCCACUCAUUGUCGGCACCUGGUUGAGGGGCAGGCAGGAGCUGGUGGAGGCCUCCCACUGGAGGGAGAGGACAGAAGUAACAGGGAAUCACAGGACUGCAGGGGGCUUGAUAAGGGUCUCCUGUGUAUCAGACAUGGAACCAGACACUUUGCUGGGACAUGGGGUUACUCUGCGGCCAAGUUACUACUACUGAAGCAGAAACACUUCUUGGGGUGGACAGCUGGUGGUGGCAGGUGAAUUUGGUGAGGUUUUAGCUUGAGCUGUGGGAAGACCCAGAGGUCUGCGGCUGCUACUGAUGACCCAGACUCCUGCCCCCUCAGGUGACUGCAAGGAGCCUGACAAGUGCUGCUGGAGACACAAGCAGUGCACUGGGCACAUCAUCUACCCUUUCGCCUCUGACUGUGUCCGCCACAGCCUGCACCUACACUCUGUCAACCACUGCAACUGUAAUUCUAGGCUGAAGGACUGUUCAGAGGAUAGCAGCAGCUCCCAGGGCGCGGGCCCAACCUGCUCCCAUGUCAUCGAGUCCCCUUGCUUUGAGCUCACACCGGAGGAGGAGCAUGUGGAGCGAUUCCAGUAUGGCUGGUGCAAAAGCUACAGACCUGUUUCUGUGGCAGUGAUCCACCAUCCACUCUACCAUGAGUGUGGGGCAGAUGAUCUAAAUGAAGAAGAGGAAGAGGAGGAGGAGGAGGAGGAAAGCAAGCCCCCCAUCCCGACGCAGGUGGGGCCCGCCACCGCCUCCCCUGACCUAGGCACCAGCAUGGCCACUGGUACCCCUGACUCCACAGCGCCCAUCACCAUCUGGCGCUCUGAGAGCCCCACAGGGAAGGGUCAGGGCAGCAAGGUGAUCAAGAAGGUAAAGAAGAAAAAGGAAAAAGAGAAAGACAA
rnacentral:sRNA from 1 species